GGCAAUGUGGCUUAGUGGUAGAGCGUUUGCCUAGCAUGCAUGAAGCCCUGGGUUCGGAUCCUCAGUACCA
rnacentral:tRNA from 1 species